AGCUUGUUGGUGAGGUAAAAGCUCACCAAGGCGACGAUCUGUAGCGGGUCUGAGAGGAUGAUCCGCCACACUGGAACUGAGACACGGUCCAGACUCCUACGGGAGGCAGCAGUGGGGAAUUUUGGACAAUGGGGGCAACCCUGAUCCAGCCAUGCCGCGUGAGUGAAGAAGGCCUUCGGGUUGUAAAGCUCUUUCAGCCGGGAAGAAAACGCAUGGGUUAAUACCCUGUGUGGAUGACGGUACCGGAAUAAGAAGCACCGGCUAACUACGUGCCAGCAGCCGCGGUAAUACGUAGGGUGCGAGCGUUAAUCGGAAUUACUGGGCGUAAAGCGUGCGCAGGCGGUUUUGUAAGACAGGCGUGAAAUCCCCGGGCUUAACCUGGGAACUGCGUUUGUGACUGCAAGGCUAGAGUACGGCAGAGGGGGGUGGAAUUCCACGUGUAGCAGUGAAAUGCGUAGAGAUGUGGAGGAACACCAAUGGCGAAGGCAGCCCCCUGGGUCGAUACUGACGCUCAUGCACGAAAGCGUGGGUAGCAAACAGGAUUAGAUACCCUGGUAGUCCACGCCCUAAACGAUGUCAACUAGGUGUUGGGAGGGUAAAACCUUUUAGUACCGGAGCUAACGCGUGAAGUUGACCGCCUGGGGAGUACGGCCGCAAGGUUAAAACUCAAAGGAAUUGACGGGGACCCGCACAAGCGGUGGAUGAUGUGGAUUAAUUCGAUGCAACGCGAAAAACCUUACCUACCCUUGACAUGCCAAGAACUUUCCAGAGAUGGAUUGGUGCCCGAAAGGGAACUUGGACACAGGUGCUGCAUGGCUGUCGUCAGCUCGUGUCGUGAGAUGUUGGGUUAAGUCCCGCAACGAGCGCAACCCUUGUCGUUAAUUGCCAUCAUUUAGUUGGGCACUUUAACGAGACUGCCGGUGACAAACCGGAGGAAGGUGGGGAUGACGUCAAGUCCUCAUGGCCCUUAUGGGUAGGGCUUCACACGUCAUACAAUGGUCGGUACAAAGGGUCGCCAAGCCGCGAGGUGGAGCCAAUCCCAGAAAGCCGAUCGUAGUCCGGAUCGCAGUCUGCAACUCGACUGCGUGAAGUCGGAAUCGCUAGUAAUCGUGGAUCAGAAUGUCACGGUGAAUACGUUCCCGGGUCUUGUACACACCGCCCGUCACACCAUGGGAGCGGGUUCCGCCAGAAGUAGGUAGCCUAACCGCAAGGAGGGCGCUUACCACGGCGGGGUUCGUGACUGGGGUGAAGUCGUAACAAGGUAGCCGUAGGGAACCUGCGGCUG
rnacentral:rRNA from 1 species